rnacentral:rRNA from 1 species
CCUACGGGCGGCAGCAGUGGGGGAUAUUGCACAAUGGGGGGAACCCUGAUGCAGCGAAGCCGCGUGGGUGAAGAAGCGCCUCGGCGCGUAAAGCCCUGUCAGCAGGGAAGAAAAUGACGGUACCUGAAGAAGAAGCCCCGGCUUACUACGUGCCAGCAGCCGCGGUAAUACGUCGGGGGCAAGGGUUAUCCGGAUUUACUGGGUGUUAAGGGGGCGCAGAGGGCGCUGCAAGCCAGGAGUGAAAGCACGGGGCCCCACCCCGGGACAGCUCUUGGAACUGCGUGGCUGGAGUGCAGGAGGGGCAGGCGGAAUGCCUGGUGUAGCGGUGAAAUGCGUAGAUAUCAGGAGGAACACCGGUGGCGAAGGCGGCCUGCUGGAGUGCAACUGACGUUGAGGCCCGAAAGCGUGGGUAGCAAACAGGAUUAGAUACCCCGGUAGUC